UGCUAUGGCUCAGUAGGUAGAGCACUUCCUUGGUAAGGAAGAGGUCACCGGUUCAAAUCCGGUUAGC
rnacentral:tRNA from 1 species